rnacentral:rRNA from 1 species
UACGGGGGGAGCAAGCGUUGUUCGGAUUUACUGGGCGUAAAGGGCGCGUAGGCGGCCACCGCAAGUCGGUUGUGAAAUCUCUGGGCUUAACCCAGAAAGGUCAACCGAUACUGCGGGGCUAGAGUGCAGAAGGGGCAACUGGAAUUCUCGGUGGUAGCGGUGAAAUGCGUAGAUAAUCGGAGAGGAACACCUGCGGCGAAGGCGGGUUGCU